GUAAAGAAGAGAGAGAAAGAAGAAGAAAGGAAAAAAGGAAGAAGAAGAAAGAAGAAGAAGGGGAAGUUGACCGUAGAGCUUCACCAGAGCUAGGUCUUGGUAUUUCAAGUCCGGAUUUAUGAUCAGUUCGCAGAGGUCUUCGAUUUGAGGAUUUGGAAGGAAUGUGGGUGAAGAUCUAGAGUAUUUGGAGGUUCUUGAGCAAAAGAAGUGAAAUUUGGGGUUUCAUUAGUGUUCUUAAAGAAGAGGUUACACUCAAUAUAUGCGUACCCACACAUCGGAUCUUUUUUGUACCGAGUACCAGCACCGUGUAUAUAUACAUGUGGAGUCACCCAUUUACUUUCUGUCAUUUAAAUUCUCUGACAAUCCUAUGAGCGUAUCGCGGGAUGGAAUUCGUGGCUCAUACCUGGGGCAUAUGCACACUGUGAUUGUGAUUUUACAAGUUAUCCGCUUGGUGAUCAGGAGCCGGGCCCCACUGUGAAGUUUUCAUCUGAAGAUUGGUGGGUCCCUGACGAGUUUGAGCACUGUGCUGAUUGUACGUACGAGGAUUGUGUUGCGUGGCAGCUAUGACUCCUAAGUGAUUCUUUUGAUUCUUUUUUAUAUACUCCAUUUUGUUACUUGAUGUUUAAAUUGUUAUAUACAUAUCAUGCCUUUGAGCCCAAAUGUACGUAAUAUUUAUAACUCAAUUUGGAUAUCAAGUAUUUGA